CCAUAAGUGGUUAGGAGAGGAAGAUGGACAGGAAACAAGGAAAAUACCCCAAGAGAAAGAGCGGAAGUGAAGGAAACUCUUCCGGUGUCUACAGCUGAAAACUCAUGUAGCUGUUUGUGAUUGGUCGUUUCUUAGGGGGUGGGAUUUUUUAUGAUAGGCUGUUUGUGAUUGGUUGUUUCUUAGGGGGUGGGGUGUUUUUUGUGGUAGGCUGUUUGUGAUUGGUUAUUUCUUAGGGGGUGGGAUUUCUUUUAUGGUAGACUGUGAUUGGUUGUUUCUUAUGGGUGGGGUGUUUUUUAUGGGAGACUGUUUGUGAUUGGUUGUUGUCCUUGUCUUUCCUUUCAGUGCACCGCCAUGGCCCUUUGGACCCGCUGGCUUUAAUGGCUUUCUAGUUUAUUUAAUGGAGAGAACACCAGCUCUUGGGAGUCAGAAAUAACUGUGACAGGUGAGGUCAAGGGUGAGAAUGUGUCUUGUAAACGAAAGAGUACACUGUCAGUGCAAAGACUCCUCCUUUUCGGCCUCCCUGAUUCUCAGCACAAGCCUCCUGGGCCUCCUCGGGAAGCCUCGCGCGUGGGUCGAUGUUCCCCUGCCGCCAUCUUGAUGUGCUCAACGGUGUGGUCUUCUAAGCUGUGCUUUGUAAGUGAAGGCCAGCGGGGAAACGGAGCACAGGAGGAGGUCAACGAAAUACGCUUCACUCGCAUGUCCCCGGCAUCACGCCGCACAGUAUCCCGGAUACUUGGGAGAGCGACAGGAGGGAUGCUGAUUCUUAUCCUGAUACCAAACAAACAAAAGUAAAACACCUAAAUUAAAUCAAGGUUAUUGAAAUGGCCAAGGGUCAUUAAGAGAAGAUUUAAGAAGAGUAAGCUGAGAAUAUUUGCCAUCCGGAUCUCAAGAAUAAAGUAGUGGUAUUUGUGUAAGAGAUAGAUAAA
ensembl:lncRNA